UUCCGGUUGAUCCCGCCAGAGGCCACUGCUAUCGGAGUUCGAUUAAGCCAUGCGAGUCGAGAGGGGAAAGCCCUCGGCAUACUGCUCAGUAACACGUGGAUAACCUGCCCUGCGGUGGGAAAUAACCCCGGGAAACUGGGGAUAAUGUCCCAUAGACUACGGAUACUGGAAUGUUCUGUAGUUCAAAGAUUUAUCGCCACAGGAUGGGUCUGCGGCCGAUUAGGUAGUUGUUGGGGUAACGGCCCAACAAGCCUUUGAUAGGUACGGGUUGUGGGAGCAAGAGCCCGGAGAUGGAUUCUGAGACACGAAUCCAGGCCCUACGGGGCGCAGCAGGCGCGAAAACUUUACAAUGCGGGAAACCGUGAUAAGGGAACUCCGAGUGUCCGUAAAUGCGGACUGUCCGUAUGUUUAAAAAGCAUGCGAAGAAAGGGCCGGGCAAGACCGGUGCCAGCCGCCGCGGUAAUACCGGCGGCUCGAGUGGUGGCCACUAUUAUUGGGCUUAGAGCGUUCGUAGCUGGGUUGUUAAGUUUCUUGGGAAAUCUACCGGCUUAACCGAUAGGCGUCCAAGGGAUACUGGCAAUCUAGGGACCGGGAGAGGUGAGGGGUACUUCAGGGGUAGGAGUGAAAUCCUGUAAUCCUUGGGGGACCACCUGUGGCGAAGGCGCCUCACCAGAACGGCUCCGACAGUGAGGGACGAAAGCUGGGGGAGCAAACCGGAUUAGAUACCCGGGUAGUCCCAGCCGUAAACGAUGCGCGGUAGGUGUAUCGAUGACCACGAGUCAUCGAGGUGCCGAAGGGAAACCGUGAAACGCGCCGCCUAGGAAGUACGGUCGCAAGGCUGAAACUUAAAGGAAUUGGCGGG
rnacentral:rRNA from 1 species